UACGUAGGGUGCAAGCGUUGUUCGGAAUUAUUGGGCGUAAAGCGUGCGUAGGCGGCUAUGCAAGUCAGAUGUGAAAUCCCCGGGCUCAACCUGGGAACUGCAUUUGUGACUGCAUGGCUAGAGUACGGUAGAGGGGGAUGGAAUUCCGCGUGUAGCAGUGAAAUGCGUAGAUAUGCGGAGGAACACCGAUGGCGAAGGCAAUCCCCUGGGCCGGUACUGACGCUCAGGCACGAAAGCGUGGGGAGCAAACAGG
rnacentral:rRNA from 1 species